CGUGUCCCUACAAUUGAAAGGUAUACAUAAGUCUUUUUGUGAUCCUGCAUUUAUAACGUGCUGAAUUAACCACAAGAGCGAUUGAAAUUAAUUCGUAACUACACUGUAAAUUCAAGAGUCAAAAUUAAUUAUCUCAGUCAAAAGAGUCGUUCUGUGGUUGAACGACUUUUGGGAUCAAACGACUCUGGAAACUAGUAUAUAUACUGUUAGAUGCCGUUUAUAAAAGUUUCAAACUCAUUCAAAAUCAUUGGUCAUGUUUCAAAAUCAUCGCACUAACAUACAUAAUAAUUGUAUGAAUAUUUUAUGAUCGCUGCACAUUCCAUAAGCCACAGAGAGUCCGCCAGUCCGGAGCUAUAAUCAAGACUAUACUGAGGCCCCAGCCUAGUCCCAGUCGUUCUGAAGCAAGCGCGAGAAAAAAGUGGAUGUAGUACGAGACUGGGACCUAGGUGUGAUGUCACCGCUCAAGGUGCUUCAGAACGCCUAGCGGAUUUCAGUAUUUUUAAUAUGGCGGAAAAUUUAUAUAUACAAGUAACCUUUUAAUUAUAAAUACAACAAUGUUCGUUCAUCGUGUAAAUGUUCGAUGUCUACAUAACCAAAUCAAACUGUAUUAAAAAUGUGCUCAACUAAAAAAAUUUGUAUACAAAUUUACGAUACCGAGUUUGAGCAAUCGUUGAUGUUAUUUAUGUACUCGCAAGUUGUAUCAACACUAGACCAUACUUGUAUACACAACUACGCUUUCUACUUGACAGGUUUAAAUUGCUGAGGAGAUUGGAAAUAUUUGCCUGACAUGACAGUGUUGUCAAAACAUUCUUAGUCGGAGAUUCGGCAUAAUUUUCAAGCUUCUAGAUAGCAUUUAAUAGGUAUAGGUUAUUUUGAGGCAACGAGGGGAUAUGUGAUUUAUUCACCGAGGCGCGCAGCGCCGAGGUGAAUAAACACAUAUCCCCGAGGUGCUUUUUUCACCUACAAUUAAUAAUCCCCUCUAAUAUUCACCUGCGAUGUCUUUGCAGCACAAAAAAUGCGAAAAAACAACAUCGCGAAGGCAAUAUGGCAUUAAGAAUUAUUUCUUUUCUGACUCAUUAACGCGACCUCGCAGUGUGAAAAAUAAGUACGUUAUUUUGAGGCACCUCGGGGAUAUGUGUUUAUUCACCUCGGCGCUGCGCGCCUCGGUGAAUAAAUCACAUAUCCCCUCGUUGCCUCAAAAUAACCUAUACAUAUUUUAGUAAACACGAGUCAUAUUUACCCCGUUAUUCCAUUCUGACCGUAUGGCAGCGAAACGUAGCCUACUUCAUGUUCCGACAGCAUUAAAGCAAAACUAAUGACUUAAUUAUAAAUGCAAAGGAAAUUUCCAUAACAUUUUCCAUUUACAAAUGAGGUAUGCUUGGUAACCAGGCCAGGGACCACUUUUUUGAAAUCAGGGACCAUUUUACCGAAAUCUGCUAGGCUCUCUCGCUGAAGCGUUCCGCACAGCACACCCAGGCAUAAAACUUUUAAGACUUAUUUAAAUAUAUCAAAGCAACGAAUAGAGAGAGCCUGGGACUAGGCUGCUGAGGCCCUAGUUACACGAUACCGGAUUCGUAUCGGAGCGACAUCUAUUUAAGGUGUUUUCUAGUCUUGUCUGCUCUUACAAGUUUUCAUAUUUGAAAUUUUUGUUUAAAUAUGUUUUAGUAUUUUUGCUACAAGAUGAUCGGUCAAAUUUGAUGUAUUAAUCUGUUAUAUCCACCUACAGGUGAAAUCGAAAUUUUCAAAAUGGCGGCUUGUCGUUUCGUUGAAGUUAGUGAUAGAGAAAUAAGCGAAAUUAAAAUGAAUUCAGACAAGAAAAACACAAAAAAACUUGUGCAAAAAUACUAAAACAAUUAUUCGGCGAAUAAUUGUUAAAUAUUAUCAUAAUUUUAAGUGCCAAAUUCACCGCUCGAAGCAGUAAAAUUUAAUGUCGCUCCGAUACGAAUCCGGUAUCGUGUAAGUCUGGGGCCUAAAUCUACUGAACAUACUGAAAAUCCAUGCCUGCCACAAACAGGAAUCCGUGACAGGAUUUUUAACGGAAUCAGGAUUGUCGCAAAGAAAAAUAGAAAAUAGACUACAACUAAAUUAUGGAAUAUAAAACUGGUGGAUUUGAUCGCUUCCAAAUGAUUUAUAAAUGCUAACUAACACUGUUGUCAAAGACAACACUGACCAAAGACAAAGUAUAAAAUGAUGCACCGGCCACAGGAAUGUUUUACAUUUUAUUACUGUUAUGCAAGAAUAAAAUAAACACAAAUUCUUGAAAUCGGUCAGCGGGAAAAUAUUAGGUUACUAGAACCGAUAUUUACAGCGCAAUGACAAUAUGUAAUAUAAAAUGUACAGAGAAUACAGUAGGAGACCAGUAUUAGGGUAGUAAUUCUAUUUUUGAAUUGUUUUUCAGGUGCAGCUUGUUUUUUUGUGAAACGGUUUUUGAACUAUGCCUAUGGCUCUACUUCAGGCUCAGGACGUUGUAUUAGCGACACAGGUCAAAUACAGUCAAAUGGCAGUUGGGGAAACUUGUCUUUUCUAGAAUUUUCCGACAACAGCUGUCUGGAUCCAGCUGCUCAGUUUCGGUUUCGUGCUAAUGGUGCCAUGUUGAAUUUAAAAAGACAGGGAUGUCUCGCUGCUCUUCAUAGGAAUGGUUCUGGUUAUGAUCUUAAUAUGUUUUAUCUUUACGUUGACUCAGUCAGUUUAGAUACAGCUGCUUGUGCUCAGAAACCUAACGAGGGUAUCUAUCGUGCUAUAACCCAGACUCCCGAGGGAGGAUUAUCUGUUUAUUAUAAAGGGAAAGAUAAGAGUUCAUUUCAAACCUGGUGUGCAUCGUGGGCAUAUAAUUCACAACUUUUAAAUAAUUAUGGAAUAAAUCGCUACAUGGGAUUGUUGACACGAUGUCAUUCCAUCUAUUCUAGUCAGA
rnacentral:lncRNA from 1 species